rnacentral:lncRNA from 1 species
AAAUAACUGGAAUUCCGCAAACACUGGGGUGAUGCAGGCAAUGCCCUUAGCACGGUCCCGGCAGGAGGCGGUGGGAUCAGGCCGACCCGGGUCCCAGGGGUGACAGCGUCCCUUCUCCACUGCAGAAUAUCGAGAUGGAUUUGCAGCCGCUGCAAGUGUGUGGAAGGGCCGUGUUCGUGUUGGCAAAGAAGGUCGGCUGCUGAGCCAGGGCGUGUCUCCCGGAGGCCUGUGGGCUGCCAGGAUCCCCACCUCUCUGCAAUGGGCUGCCCAGGCUGGUCAGUUACCAGCCAGUGACAUCAGCGAGGUUCCCUGCUCUCUACCCUGGGAAGGGCCCAGCCUAAGUUACCAAGCCCCAGGCUCCCAGUACCACCCUCAGCCUAUGUGGAUUGCCACCCCACCUUCUGCCUGUCCUUGGGAGGGGACCGACUCUUAGCUCCCCUUAGCAAUCAGGUUGCACCCAGUCCCUUGACUUUAUGCCCAGGUUUCCUGGCACCUAAAGUAGAAACGAUGCAACUGCCCCUCGGGCUUGCUGAGGGUCAAAGGGGGUGUGACUUUGUCAUGGAGCGUAGAAGUCAGAGUCGAUGGUGAUCCCGCU